UAGUCCGGGGAAAGCGAGGGGGAGACGGACGUUGAGAGAACGAGGAGGAAGGAGAGAAAAUGGCGUCCACGGAUUAUAGUACCUACAGCCAAGCUGCAGCCCAGCAGGGCUACAGUGCUUACACCGCCCAGCCCACUCAAGGAUAUGCACAGACCACCCAGGCAUAUGGGCAGCAAAGCUAUGGAACCUAUGGACAGCCCACUGAUGUCAGCUAUACCCAGGCUCAGACCACUGCAACCUAUGGGCAGACCGCCUAUGCAACUUCUUAUGGACAACCUCCCACUGGUUAUACUACUCCAACUGCCCCCCAGGCAUAUAGCCAGCCUGUCCAGGGGUAUGGCACUGGUGCUUAUGAUACCACCACUGCUACAGUCACCACCACCCAGGCCUCCUAUGCAGCUCAGUCUGCGUACGGCACUCAGCCUGCUUACCCAGCCUAUGGACAGCAGCCAGCAGCCACCGCACCUACAAGACCGCAGGAUGGUAACAAGCCCGCUGAGACUAAUCAACCUCAGUCUAGCACGGGGGGUUACAACCAGCCCAGCCUAGGAUACGGACAGAGUAACUACAGUUAUCCCCAGGUACCUGGGAGCUACCCCAUGCAGCCAGUUACUGCACCUCCAUCCUAUCCUCCUACCAGCUAU